rfam:Corchorus capsularis cultivar CVL-1 contig15105, whole genome shotgun sequence.
GGGUGCGAUCAUACUAGCACUAAUGCACCGGAUCCCAUCAGAACUCCGCAGUUAAGCGUGCUUGGGCGAGAGUAGUACUAGAGUGGGUGACCUCCUGGGAAUCCCUCGUGUUGCACCAU